rnacentral:rRNA from 1 species
CACGAACGCUGGCGGCAGGCUUAACACAUGCAAGUCGAGCGCCCCGCAAGGGGAGCGGCAGACGGGUGAGUAACGCGUGGGAAUCUACCCAUCUCUACGGAAUAACGCAUGGAAACGUGCUAAUACCGUAUACGUCCUUCGGGAGAAAGAUUUAUCGGAGAUGGAUGAGCCCGCGUUGGAUUAGCUAGUUGGUGGGGUAAAGGCCUACCAAGGCGACGAUCCAUAGCUGGUCUGAGAGGAUGAUCAGCCACACUGGGACUGAGACACGGCCCAGACUCCUACGGGAGGCAGCAGUGGGGAAUAUUGGACAAUGGGCGCAAGCCUGAUCCAGCCAUGCCGCGUGAGUGAUGAAGGCCCUGGGGUUGUAAAGCUCUUCACCGGUGAAGAUAAUGACGGUAACCGGAGAAGAAGCCCCGGCUAACUUCGUGCCAGCAGCCGCAGUAACAC